AAAAGGUAAAUACAUACCUUUUCAUUCAGAAAGCUGUUCCCUGAAAGAGUUGGGAGGCUUUGAAUUCCCUUCAUCACUGGGAGGAGAGCAGGAGCCAUACACUGUGUGUGAGGGGUGUGGGGACCAUUCCUACUGUCUCCCUCCCUCUGUUCUCCCCUAAAUGAUCCUGAGCCAGGAAGAGUGAUGCAGAAUGUCUCUCACCCUGUGGAAGAGUUGGUCAGGCUGGUCCUCAGACAACCAGGGAAGCUCUUGGGGUCCUGGAGAAUAGGCACAUAGCAGAUAAAAGGAGUUCUUAACCAAACUUCCCUAGAACGGAGGGAGCUAACAAGAAAGAACUUUGGAAAUCUACCCUCCUCUUUCCCUGUCACUGCCAGGAAUGUCACCAUGAGAGCAGUUUCAGUUAAUGAGCAAACUCCUCAGACAAGGCAGGAAGGCAGCUCUUGGGCCUCACUGUCAAGCACAGGAAGCGACUGGAUUCCACUUGCCCGGUGUAGGGAUGACAGCAGGUAUUGAGUGGGACUGCAGGCCUGACAUCCUUAGCUCCUCCACACCCAGGACAGCCCGGCUGUCAGCACAGGGCAGCAGAAAGGACAGGGGACAAGCUCCAGGUGUGGGCGAGUCCCAGAGCAGCCCGGGGAGAGUGUCACUGUGUGGGUGCUGGCGUGGGGGCAGGAGCACACCACAUGCAGUUGCACGGGGGACUGAAUCUGAGGCUUUGGGGGAAGCAUCCAAGCCCCAGGGUGUGUGUGAGGGGGUCCCCCACAUGAGCAAUUCCUCAGGCCCAGCAAUGGCUGAUUCCCUCUGCUCGAGGAGAAAUCUCAUGUGAGGAAGGUGGAGUCAGGUCAGCUCCUCUCCAAUUACCCAGAAUGGGUGAGAGUUGAAGAUCUAGAAACAGAUUGCUGAGGCAGGAGAACAAAUGGUGACCCCUGCGCCUGCCCACGUUCCUGGAGGAAAACAGGAGCCAGUAGAGAGUGAGCUGACUCGGUGUGACUCCCUUAACAUUGACACAAAAGAGAAACUAUCAUAGGUCAUGGGUACCAGCAUCCCCAGUUCUCAUCAGGAAGCAGUACCCCAGGGCACAUGUCCCACAGACUGCUGAAAGAGAUCUUGCUCAGGGUUUCCCAGGAUGAGGGGGUGCAGGAGCCCCCCAGAAGUGCCCAUCCUCUAACCAACUGGGGGCCAGCUAAGCAGACAUCUUGGUCAAGCCUCAGCCCGUAGACUUGUGCUCUUGUGGCAUAAGAUGAGCCUCUGGGAACCAACUCGAGACCUACUGUUUGGGAGUUCGCCGGAGCAACGAGCCCCUUCUGAGGCCUCUAAGCUGCUGAGCUCUGCAGGAUUGAGGUCAUGAUCCCUGCCAUGUUCCAGAGGCUUCACAAGAAGAUGAAGGGACCCAGGAGGAGAUUGUGGGUCCAUGGGAACUGUCAGGUAUGCUCAGGUCUCUCUCCACCCCCCUUGACUCCUGCCUGGGCUCAUCUCUAGAGAUGCCCCUGGUCUGGCUGUGCAGAACACUGGAUUGUCACUUGGAAGCAGGAAGCAGUUGUCCAAGGCUGCCUGAGCAGUGGGGAGUCUCAGAGUUAAGGGCUGGAUCUAGGACAGACAUGGCUUCAGCAGGAGGGGAUGUGGACUGGGGGGUCUUCCAGCUGGGCUAACCCACAGGCAUCAGGGGACAGGCAAGAGGCGACCAGGACUUCCCUAACCACCAGAAAGUGAUUCAGCUAAAUUGAGGAAGACUUCCGUUUCAGCAGAAUGCAUUUUCCACUAUGGUAAGAGCUUUCUCACCCACGGGCUCUAGAAGAUCAGAGUCCUCCAAAGAGGGUUUGGAGAGUUUCGGUUUGAAUAGUCAAUGCUGAUUCUUAAUCAUUAUUUUGAAGAGGCAGCUCUUGGUUUUCCAGCAGGUGGCUGGGUCUCAGGGCCGUCAAGCCAGGUGUGUAUGUGAAUACAUGGGUGCAUACCGUGUGAGCAUUUGUCACCUUGGAGGCCAGGAAGGAAGGCAGCCAUGAUCAUUCCUUUGGUCAGUGGUAAGCUCUGUCCAGGUCUGCAGAAUGACCUAUAUAUGCCACCCUCACAACCCUGCCAUGAGAGCUAAUAGCUACACUGAAGUUUCACUGUGUGCCAGGCAGCA
rnacentral:lncRNA from 1 species